CCCCCCCCCGUCUGCCCUUUUCUGCCUGUGCCUGGACCUGCCAGUGUCCGCCUCCGCACGCAGUAACCACCUGUUGCCACCAGGAGGCACCAUACGCCACCCUCAGCCUUCUGCUGGUGCAGACCAGCCUCCCUCUUCCACUUUGGGCUCAGCCUAGCUACUGUCCUGGGUGCCAGUCAUCUUGGCACUACUUCUUAGUGGUCGUUGCUGAGUGAAGUGAGAGGAGUUGCCUGGCAAUCCCAGAGGAGGACUAGCCCCAGGAGCCCACACCAAACCUCUUGAACUUCUUGGUUCUAUCCCCAUCAGAUUCCAGGGUUCAGCCUUGUUCUUGGGGCUGGAGCAAAGCAGGGCUCCUGGCCACUCCGGGGAAGCUCUGGAUUGUGGCCUAAGGCUAUGCCUGUUACUCUGACAGGGUCCGGGAGCAUCCCACCCUCGAAGGCUGAGUCUUAGGCUCUCUGGAGGCUGAUCCCACCAUUUUCAGAGAAUGGCUUUUAGGAUGUCCCGGCCUUAUGGUAGGACAAUGCUGUGGCAUCCAGAAGAUGCCAUUUCCCUCAUCCUUGUUCACAAGGGAGCCACCCCACUCCUCCCCCUUAGUAGCACAGCCAGGAAGCGGGUGGGCCUGCGGGAAGGCUGAGGAUCAAGCUAGGAACCGGAGAUGCCUCACCUUGCUAGACAUCCCUGGUGACCUCUCAAGCUAGCUGUGGUUUUCUCCCCUUUUUUGGCUCCCAUUGUAGAUCUGAAUACUGAACAGAAAAGUCUUGUCCCCAUUGCCCUUCCCCUAAGUUGGCUGCCUGGGGUUAGCUAGGGCCAACAGACUAGGCAAGAAGUCAGGCCAAUGAAGCCUGAGGAGAAGAUAAGCCUAUGGGCGGCCAGGGUCUAGUACCGCUGAGUAGCUGAAGGCCCAGCCUGCCACUCCCUGGACCCACCCCACCAGCUGGGGCACAGUCCAGGUCUACUGCCCUUCGGACCCCACUGUGAUCAGUAUUGAUGGCAGUGGGCUAAUCAUUAACGCUACCAGGGCUGGGCCAACGGCUCAAAAGGCUCAGCCCAGGGUGGCCCCACUUCCUCCUUGUGCCCUGAAGGCCAGCUAGGUCUGAGGUAAGAGCUCCCAGACUGUCCUCCCUCAAGGCUGCUGAAGGCUCCCAAGUCCAAGCCUUCCUGCAGAGCCAUCAGCCCUUUCCAGGAGAAAAGAAAGGCUUCCUUGGAACUCGAAGACACCCUUUUGCCUCUGCCUGAGUGCUGGGAUAUCCAGUGUGGACCAGCACCUGGCCAGCUGAAAAAAAAAAAAAAAAAAAGAAACAAAAAUUCCAAAAUUGGAAACAGACCGGGAAUAAAGUCAAGUUGCUUAACAACAUGAACCAGUCACCGAGUGAUUCCCUCUUUGUGUGCCAAGCACUCACACACCUUACCAGGGUCCGGCUACCUGGUGAGGACACGCGUGAGUCUGUGUGUCAGGAAUGAAGAGGCAGGCUCCGCUCCAGGAAGAUGACCAUUGGGCAAAGAGACGCAGGAUCUCUGAGGACGCAGGUCCCAGCUUUACCCCUCAUGCGUCCUGCACCUAAGCUGCUUUGAGCCCUGGGGUUCCCCUCCACCAGAGCUCAAUGGCAGUUGGGGAGCUUCCCUGGACCCUGCAGGAUCUGCCUCUCCCAGCUCCCAUAUCUGAAUGCUUAUCUUAUCCUUGCCUGGUCUCAGGCUCUAGCGAACAAAGUCCUCAGCUUACUCAUCUUGUGGGGCCGGCUCCACACCUUCUCCGUGGUCGAUGCUUGGAGACAGAUGCCCUGGCUGAACAGAUGGGCACUGCAGUCUGACGCUCUUGGGACCAUCCCUUGCUCCAUCCCGGGUGCUGGCUUAGGAUGAAAGGGGGUGGCAGGAGGGCCCUGGCUAGGGUUUCCUCCAUCUGUCUCUACCAAGCUCAUAAAAGCCUUUAAUGGUUCAGGGAAGUGUUGUCUGACUCAGAGCACACCCAGCUCCCUCCGGUCUGGUGUCUUGACCCCUGUUGACUUGUGACCUUUCCCCUUCAGGCCCUGGACCUAUGAACACCUUUCUUUGCUGGCUCCCUCCCAUUUCUCUCGGGUUCCUCAUUGCUUCUGGGACGCCUGCCCGAGCCUCUGGAAACGUGCCUGAAUCACUUGCCCCACAUGCUUCCCAACAGCAGGUAGCCUGUUGGUGACUGUCAUACCCUAUCACCAGCACCUAUUUCCUUUACAACCUGUGGACCCUUGAGUGGGACCCUCCUUGCAGCCUCAGACACUGACACGCUUGUGUGUUUAGAGAGGUCCCUAGGGAGGGACACUAUGAGGAAGGGUUGUCAUACUGCCGGGGACAGGAGAUCCUUGGAUACCAUUGUUUGUCUUCCCCACCACUGUCAUCGUUGACAUGUAGAACCAAGCUUUCUGGGAACAUGUGUAAAUAACUCACAUUCCCACAGUAAAGAACGGGCAAGUAGGGAAAGGAUUCGGAGGGGAAGAACGUGACCAAGAAAUAUUCCUGUGAGAUGAAUUUGAGUUCAGCUUUUGCUGACACUGUCCAGGAGCACAAACAGAGAAAGGGGAGAAAGCCACUAGGGAGGAGCACCUUGCCCUUCUGUGAGGCUUACUACCUGAAAUCACCACCAGAGGGCGCCCGAGACACAGCUACAAGCCCAGCACAACAUCUCCCCAGGGUCCCUCUUGGCUCCUCUGAGUCCCCAGCCACAAUUUUGUUCCCAUAAUGGGUCGCCACUGUUUAUAUACAGGGAGUGGCAAUGGCUGGGUCUGGCCAAGUUCCCUAGUCUUUCACUGCUGACAGUAUUCCCUUACAUGAAUAAAAAACUUUUUUUUUUUUUCCAUUUUAAGUAUAAAUGAACCUGGCACCUCUCCUCCUUAGGGCUUGGAGCAAUGGGGCCCCAGAAUUCAGUCUCCAUGGUGGGGGGAGGGGAUACCUGGGUUCAGGCCACUUUUUUCUUUCUUUCUUUCCUUUCCUUGACAAUUGUGAAACCUUCCGAAAUGUCGAAAUGUCGCAAGAGCAGAACAAUCAACACCCACAGACCCUUUAUUUGGAUUCACGGACAGCUGGCAUUCUAGGGUAACAUCUGCUUCCCCUCUCUUGCUCUCUCUCUUACACACAUGUUUUUCCUGAACAACUGGAGACCAGCAUACAGGCCAUGACCCUUCUCCAUGAAAUCUUUCAACAUGUAUCUCCUAAGGAAAAAAAAUACCCUUACACAACCAAGUUGCCAAAUGUAGGUCUGCCCACUGAUGCAACCCUGUUCUUCAAGUCACAGUCUGGGAGAGCCCUGGGCAGGCGGGGGCCCUGCUUGGGUUUUCUCCUCAGUGCUCCUAUGUACUUUAAUCUAGAACCACAAGGUUUUUGGUUCUUCAAUACUCUGGUGCCUUUUUUGUUUAUUUGUUUGUCUGGUUGUUUUUUUGUUUGAGACAGGGUUUCUCCCAUAUAGCCCUGGCUGUCCUGGAACUCUCUGUAGACCAGGCUGGCCUCCAAUUCACAGAGACUCGCCUGUCUCUACUGGUAGUGAAAGUGUGUGCCACUACUGCCUGGCUAAUUUUUUAUUUUAUUUUAUUUUUCUUUUUAAAUGUUGUGGGGAUAGAAACCAGAAUGUUUCUUCUUACGAACAAUCUAUUUCCAAGUCCGUCUCUUUGCAGGCAAAGCUGUUUCUUUGCCACUGUGGAAACCAUGUGACCACUGCAUUGCCUGGUCUGUUGGCUGCUGGGUGACCCUCUCUGCUCCUCAAAACUCCACCCUUCUUUCUAGGCUGUCUCCAUCUUCAAAUCAACAAGAAAAAGUACUCCUAUUAAUUUUCCCAUAUUAGGGAUUGAACCUGAGGCUCCUGCAUAUCAGAUGAGCAGUCAGGCCACUUUCUACCUUUUAUUUACUGACUUUUAAUUUUACAAAUAUUUUAUAUGUUUGGGUUUUGCUUGUAUGUCUGUAUAUCAGGCAUGUGUAGAGCUCUAGGAGGCAAGAGGGGGUGCCAGAUACCCUGGGAAAUGGAGUUACAGAUGUUCUUAGUUGCCAUGUGGGCACAGGGAAUAGAAUUCAGCUCCUCUGCAAGAAUAAAUUAGUGCUCUUAACCGGCUCUCCAGA